GGGUUGUGAGGUUAAGCGACUAAGCGUACACGGUGGAUGCCCUGGCAGUCAGAGGCGAUGAAGGACGUGCUAAUCUGCGAUAAGCGUCGGUAAGGUGAUAUGAACCGUUAUAACCGGCGAUUUCCGAAUGGGGAAACCCAGUGUGAUUCGUCACACUAUCAUUAACUGAAUCCAUAGGUUAAUGAGGCGAACCGGGGGAACUGAAACAUCUAAGUACCCCGAGGAAAAGAAAUCAACCGAGAUUCCCCCAGUAGCGGCGAGCGAACGGGGAGCAGCCCAGAGCCUGAAUCAGUGUGUGUGUUAGUGGAAGCGUCUGGAAAGGCGCGCGAUACAGGGUGACAGCCCCGUACACAAAAAUGCACAUACUGUGAGCUCGAUGAGUAGGGCGGGACACGUGGUAUCCUGUCUGAAUAUGGGGGGACCAUCCUCCAAGGCUAAAUACUCCUGACUGACCGAUAGUGAACCAGUACCGUGAGGGAAAGGCGAAAAGAACCCCGGCGAGGGGAGUGAAAAAGAACCUGAAACCGUGUACGUACAAGCAGUGGGAGCACAGAGCAAUCUGUGUGACUGCGUACCUUUUGUAUAAUGGGUCAGCGACUUAUAUUCUGUAGCAAGGUUAACCGAAUAGGGGAGCCGAAGGGAAACCGAGUCUUAACUGGGCGUUAAGUUGCAGGGUAUAGACCCGAAACCCGGUGAUCUAGCCAUGGGCAGGUUGAAGGUUGGGUAACACUAACUGGAGGACCGAACCGACUAAUGUUGAAAAAUUAGCGGAUGACUUGUGGCUGGGGGUGAAAGGCCAAUCAAACCGGGAGAUAGCUGGUUCUCCCCGAAAGCUAUUUAGGUAGCGCCUCGUGAAUUCAUCUCCGGGGGUAGAGCACUGUUUCGGCAAGGGGGUCAUCCCGACUUACCAACCCGAUGCAAACUGCGAAUACCGGAGAAUGUUAUCACGGGAGACACACGGCGGGUGCUAACGUCCGUCGUGAAGAGGGAAACAACCCAGACCGCCAGCUAAGGUCCCAAAGUCAUGGUUAAGUGGGAAACGAUGUGGGAAGGCCCAGACAGCCAGGAUGUUGGCUUAGAAGCAGCCAUCAUUUAAAGAAAGCGUAAUAGCUCACUGGUCGAGUCGGCCUGCGCGGAAGAUGUAACGGGGCUAAACCAUGCACCGAAGCUGCGGCAGCGACGCUUAUGCGUUGUUGGGUAGGGGAGCGUUCUGUAAGCCUUUGAAGGUGUACUGUGAGGUAUGCUGGAGGUAUCAGAAGUGCGAAUGCUGACAUAAGUAACGAUAAAGCGGGUGAAAAGCCCGCUCGCCGGAAGACCAAGGGUUCCUGUCCAACGUUAAUCGGGGCAGGGUGAGUCGACCCCUAAGGCGAGGCCGAAAGGCGUAGUCGAUGGGAAACAGGUUAAUAUUCCUGUACUUGGUGUUACUGCGAAGGGGGGACGGAGAAGGCUAUGUUGGCCGGGCGACGGUUGUCCCGGUUUAAGCGUGUAGGCUGGUUUUCCAGGCAAAUCCGGAAAAUCAAGGCUGAGGCGUGAUGACGAGGCACUACGGUGCUGAAGCAACAAAUGCCCUGCUUCCAGGAAAAGCCUCUAAGCAUCAGGUAACAUCAAAUCGUACCCCAAACCGACACAGGUGGUCAGGUAGAGAAUACCAAGGCGCUUGAGAGAACUCGGGUGAAGGAACUAGGCAAAAUGGUGCCGUAACUUCGGGAGAAGGCACGCUGAUAUGUAGGUGAAGUCCCUCGCGGAUGGAGCUGAAAUCAGUCGAAGAUACCAGCUGGCUGCAACUGUUUAUUAAAAACACAGCACUGUGCAAACACGAAAGUGGACGUAUACGGUGUGACGCCUGCCCGGUGCCGGAAGGUUAAUUGAUGGGGUCAGCGCAAGCGAAGCUCUUGAUCGAAGCCCCGGUAAACGGCGGCCGUAACUAUAACGGUCCUAAGGUAGCGAAAUUCCUUGUCGGGUAAGUUCCGACCUGCACGAAUGGCGUAAUGAUGGCCAGGCUGUCUCCACCCGAGACUCAGUGAAAUUGAACUCGCUGUGAAGAUGCAGUGUACCCGCGGCAAGACGGAAAGACCCCGUGAACCUUUACUAUAGCUUGACACUGAACAUUGAGCCUUGAUGUGUAGGAUAGGUGGGAGGCUUUGAAGUGUGGACGCCAGUCUGCAUGGAGCCGACCUUGAAAUACCACCCUUUAAUGUUUGAUGUUCUAACGUGGACCCGUAAUCCGGGUUGCGGACAGUGUCUGGUGGGUAGUUUGACUGGGGCGGUCUCCUCCUAAAGAGUAACGGAGGAGCACGAAGGUUGGCUAAUCCUGGUCGGACAUCAGGAGGUUAGUGCAAUGGCAUAAGCCAGCUUGACUGCGAGCGUGACGGCGCGAGCAGGUGCGAAAGCAGGUCAUAGUGAUCCGGUGGUUCUGAAUGGAAGGGCCAUCGCUCAACGGAUAAAAGGUACUCCGGGGAUAACAGGCUGAUACCGCCCAAGAGUUCAUAUCGACGGCGGUGUUUGGCACCUCGAUGUCGGCUCAUCACAUCCUGGGGCUGAAGUAGGUCCCAAGGGUAUGGCUGUUCGCCAUUUAAAGUGGUACGCGAGCUGGGUUUAGAACGUCGUGAGACAGUUCGGUCCCUAUCUGCCGUGGGCGCUGGAGAACUGAGGGGGGCUGCUCCUAGUACGAGAGGACCGGAGUGGACGCAUCACUGGUGUUCGGGUUGUCAUGCCAAUGGCACUGCCCGGUAGCUAAAUGCGGAAGAGAUAAGUGCUGAAAGCAUCUAAGCACGAAACUUGCCCCGAGAUGAGUUCUCCCUGACUCCUUGAGAGUCCUGAAGGAACGUUGAAGACGACGACGUUGAUAGGCCGGGUGUGUAAGCGCAGCGAUGCGUUGAGCUAACCGGUACUAAUGAACCGUGAGGCUUAACCUUACAACGCCGAAGGUGUUU
rnacentral:rRNA from 1 species